GUGAGGAAUAUUGGUCAAUGGGCGGAAGCCUGAACCAGCCAAGUAGCGUGCAGGAUGACGGCCCUAUGGGUUGUAAACUGCUUUUAUAUGGGGAUAAAGUCAGCCACGUGUGGUUGAUUGCAGGUACCGUAUGAAUAAGGACCGGCUAAUUCCGUGCCAGCAGCCGCGGUAAUACGGAAGGUCCGGGCGUUAUCCGGAUUUAUUGGGUUUAAAGGGAGCGCAGGCCGGAAGCAAAGCGUGCCGUGAAAUGUAGAUGCUCAACAUCUGAAUUGCGGCGCGAACUGGUUUUCUUGAGUGCAUACGAGGUAGGCGGAAUUUGUGGUGUAGCGGUGAAAUGCUUAGAUAUCACGAAGAACUCCGAUUGCGAAGGCAGCCUACCAGGAUGUAACUGACGCUAAAGCUCGAAAGUGCGGGUAUCGAACAGGAUUAGAUACCCUUGUAGUCC
rnacentral:rRNA from 1 species